UACGUAGGCAGCGAGCGUUGUUCGGAGUUACUGGGCGUAAAGGGUGUGUAGGCGGUUCUUUAAGUUUUGUGUGAAAUCUCCCGGCUUAACCGGGAGGGUGCGCCGAAUACUGAGGGACUAGAGUGUGGGAGAGGAAAGUGGAAUUCCAGGUGUAGCGGUGAAAUGCGUAGAUAUCUGGAGGAACACCGGUGGCGAAGGCGGCAUCCUGGACCGGUAUUGACGCUGAGGCGCGAAAGCUAGGGGAGCAAACGGG
rnacentral:rRNA from 1 species